rnacentral:rRNA from 1 species
UAGGGAAUCUUCCGCAAUGGACGAAAGUCUGACGGAGCAACGCCGCGUGAGUGAAGAAGGAUUUCGGUUCGUAAAACUCUGUUGUUAGGGAAGAAAAAAUGUACAGUAACUAUAUACAAAAGAGACGGUACCUAACCAGAAAGCCACGGCUAACUACGUGCCAGCAGCCGCGGUAAUACGUAGGUGGCAAGCGUUGUCCGGAAUUAUUGGGCGUAAAGCGCGCGCAGGUGGUUUAGAAAGUCUGAUGUGAAAGCCCACGGCUCAACCGUGGAGGGUCAUUGGAAACUAAUAAACUUGAGUGCAGGAGAGAAAAGUGGAAUUCCUAGUGUAGCGAUGAAAUGCGUAGAGAUUAGGAGGAACACCGGUGGCGAAAGCGGCUUUUUGGCCUGCAACUGACACUGAGGCGCGAAAGCGUGGGGAGCAAACAGG